UAUUCAUAUUUUAUACCUUUUAUAAAUAUUAAGUAUUUAUUUAAUUACCUUAAAAGGAAGGCAUUAAAUAAAUACCCGAAUUUUUAUUAUUUUUCUAGGGUGUAAAAAUUUUAAUGCAUAAAGGAAAAUAAAACAAGCCUAACAAAAUUGGUUUCACUAAUUUUGGACACUCCUAGAAAUUUCUGUGAUUAAAAUGGUGUAAAACGGAUUUAAACUAAUUACUUUCCUAAAGGAAAUCUAAUUUUCCCGAAAAACACCCGGAAAAACUUUUCUUACCUAGCCCCACUCUACCCUCUCUCACGCGCACUGGGCCCCACGGCGCGGACCCACCUAUCUC
rnacentral:lncRNA from 1 species